rnacentral:rRNA from 1 species
UUUCCUACGGGAGGCAGCAGGAGGAAUAUUGGACAAUGGGCGCAAGCCUGAUCUAGCCAUGCCGCGUGGACGAUGAAGGCCUUAGGGUUGUAAAGCUCUUUCGCUAGGGAAGAUAAUGACGGUACUUGAGGAAUAAGCAUCGGCUAACUCCGUGCCAGCAGCCGCGGUAAUAA